CCAUCAUUCAGUUGGGCACUCUAAAGGGACUGCCGGUGAUAAGCCGCGAGGAAGGUGGGGGAUGACGUCAAGUCCUCAUGGCCCUUACGGGCUGGGCUACACACGUGCUACAAUGGCGGUGACAGUGGGAUGCAAAGGGGCGACCCCUCGCAAAUCUCAAAAAGCCGUCUCAGUUCGGAUUGUACUCUGUAACUCGAGUGCAUGAAGUUGGAAUCGCUAGUAAUCGUGGAUCAGCAUGCCACGGUGAAUACGUUCCCGGGCCUU
rnacentral:rRNA from 1 species